rnacentral:rRNA from 1 species
CCGGAACCUGCAGUCAAUAACACGUGCAGGUUAGUGAUGAGCAUUACACAAAUAUGAAGGCGGGCUGGAACCUCUCGGGGUUACAGCCUUGCUGAAUUAUUCACCCUUGUCUUUUGCGUACUUCUUGUUUCCUUGGUGGGUUCGCCCACCACUAGGACAAACAUAAACCUUUUGUAAUUGCAAUCAGCGUCAGUAACAAAUUAAUAAUUACAACUUUCAACAACGGAUCUCUUGGUUCUGGCAUCGAUGAAGAACGCAGCGAAAUGCGAUAAGUAGUGUGAAUUGCAGAAUUCAGUGAAUCAUCGAAUCUUUGAACGCACAUUGCGCCCUUUGGUAUUCCAAAGGGCAUGCCUGUUCGAGCGUCAUUUGUACCCUCAAGCUUUGCUUGGUGUUGGGCGUCUUGUCUCUAGCUUUGCUGGAGACUCGCCUUAAAGUAAUUGGCAGCCGGCCUACUGGUUUCGGAGCGCAGCACAAGUCGCACUCUCUAUCAGCAAAGGUCUAGCAUCCAUUAAGCCUUUUUUUCAACUUUUGACCUCGGAUCAGGUAGGGAUACCCGU